rnacentral:rRNA from 1 species
UACAGAGGGUGCGAGCGUUAAUCGGAGUUACUGGGUGUAAAGGGCGCGUAGGCGGUUAUAUAGGUGUGAUGUGAAAGCCCCGGGCUUAACCUGGGAAGUGCAUCGCAAACGAUAAGACUGGAGUAUAUGAGAGGGUGGCGGAAUUUCCGGUGUAGCGGUGAAAUGCGUAGAGAUCGGAAGGAACGUCGAUGGCGAAGGCAGCCACCUGGCAUAAUACUGACGCUGAGGCGCGAAAGCGUGGGGAGCGAACAGG